GAUGAACGCUAGCGGCAGGCCUAAUACAUGCAAGUCGAACGAGAUUGGAGGAGCUUGCUCUUCCAUGAAAGUGGCGCACGGGUGCGUAACGCGUAUGCAACCUACCUUCUUCAGGGGGAUAGCCUCUCGAAAGAGAGAUUAACACCGCAUAACAUUAUUGAGUGGCAUCAUUUAAUAAUCAAAUAUUUAUAGGAAGAAGAUGGGAAUGCGUGACAUUAGUUAGUUGGUGAGGUAACGGCUCACCAAGACUACGAUGGCUAGGGGAUCUGAGAGGAUGACCCCCCACACUGGUACUGAGACACGGACCAGACUCCUACGGGAGGCAGCAGUAAGGAAUAUUGGUCAAUGGGGGCAACCCUGAACCAGCCAUGCCGCGUGCAGGAAGACGGCCCUACGGGUUGUAAACUGCUUUUAUACCGGAAUAAUUCCCAGUACGUGUACUGGGUUGAAUGUACGGUAAGAAUAAGGAUCGGCUAACUCCGUGCCAGCCGCCGCUGUAAAAC
rnacentral:rRNA from 1 species